ACGUAGGGUGCGAGCGUUAAUCGGAAUUACUGGGCGUAAAGCGUGCGCAGGCGGUUCGUUGUGUCGGUGGUGAAAGCCCCGGGCUUAACCUGGGAAUGGCCAUGGAAACUGGCGAACUGGAGUGUGGAAGAGGGGGGUGGAAUUCCAGGUGUAGCAGUGAAAUGCGUAGAGAUCUGGAGGAACACCGAUGGCGAAGGCAGCCCCCUGGGCUAACACUGACGCUCAUGCACGAAAGCGUGGGGAGCAAACAGGA
rnacentral:rRNA from 1 species